AUGAAAGGAUUGGAGGCAACUGAAGAGAAAUCACUCCUGAAUGCAAUAUGGACCCUGGAGCAGAUAAAGGACAUUACUGAAAAACUGGAUGAAAUCCCAACAUGUCUCCUUGUCACCUAUGUCUGUCCCUUCAACUCAGGACCCACACUACAACUAAAUGAUCUUUUCAAAAAGCAAAACUGAUCAUACCAACCACUGCCUCUCAGCAGUUGUAGAACAAUACUGUUCAAACUGGCAGUCCUCAGUCACAUGUAUCUACUGAACACUUGAAAUGUGGCUCUUCUGAAUCGAGACAUGCUGUAG
rnacentral:lncRNA from 1 species